GACGGAGGAUGCAAGCGUUAUCCGGAAUGAUUGGGCGUAAAGCGUCCGCAGGUGGCAGUUCAAGUCUGCUGUCAAAGACCGGGGCUUAACCCCAGAAAGGCAGUGGAAACUGAAGUGCUAGAGUGCAGUAGGGGUAGAGGGAAUUCCCGGUGUAGCGGUGAAAUGCGUAGAGAUCGGGAAGAACAUCGGUGGCGAAAGCGCUCUGCUGGACUGCAACUGACACUCAGGGACGAAAGCUAGGGGAGCGAAUGGG
rnacentral:rRNA from 1 species